CAAAGGUGCCGAUAGAGAGUUGUGCUACUGGAUAUGCUGUGGUUCAAGUAUGUGGAAAGUGAUAGCGAUUCUGAGCUGUUAUUUAACGAUAAGUGAAACAAAUGGCCCUGUUCAAUGCCGCCUAUUAUUCAAAUGUAUGUGCAGCAAAUGAGGCGAAUUCAUUGACCCGGCCUUCAAAUCAGCUGUUCUGCCGAACGAGUGGUGGGGACCGACACAGUGACCUAAUGGCAGUUACCUGCUUUCAGCAUACCAGGUUAAUUUAGGGACGAGUGACGAGGUGCCGAGAUAUCCGCUUGGAAUGUAGACCAAGGGAUUAGGUGGAGCCAGCGGCCCAGUCCCUUUGCCUCUGUGCAGUUCAGUUUAUUGGUGCUCGGCAACUUACUAUCUCUGCAUGAAAUGGAAACAGGAAUAAAACCAGUUGAAGGAAACACAAGGAAGCAUUCAAGUUGUGGGCUUUCAUCGUUGCCUUACAAGUUCCUCCACUUUCUACCUUUUCCGUCUGUCUAUCUCUGCUUCACCUUUUACAUCUUCUGGAGGUUAGACUUUUAAGUUGGACACCUCCUAUCCCCUACAUUUUCUAUGCGACCCUCUUUGAGCCUUUCCGAACUGUAUAUAAAGUGGUGCUACUAAAUCGGAAACCGCAGCUUUGUCGAUGCUAUAUUGCUACCACCUUCUCUUUACGUUGCUGGUUUCUUUUCACCCUAUUGAACUGUCCUUCUCACUUGGGCAACCCCUUGAUCAGGAUGGAUCGUUGUUAGAGUUGACAUUGGGGUCGAAUUUAUUGGCUCGGUUGGUUCUUCGAACUGUUCACGGCGAAUCUAGUUUACCAGCGGAAAAUUCAUCUUCAAACUUUGAUAAUACUUUUUCUUAGGUUACGGACGAGGAUUACUCAUGAUUUCUGUGCCGAACCGCGAUUGUACAAUGAAGUGAAGAUUUGUUUCAAGUAUUUGGAAUUUUUUCUUACUUAACGGUGGAAUGAUAAUUUCUUUUUCAUUUAUUGGAGAGUGUAUGCUGAGCAGCAGUGAAAUUGUUAUUAAACGAUUCCUAGUAGCUUGGUUUCAAGCUCUUGGAAAGUUUAUUUUUUCAAUUUACUUACAUGAAUUUCAUAUACAGUGCCGAAUAACAAAUUAAAGAUUACAAAAAGUUCGUAAAUAAAAAAUAUUACAAAUUUUCUGUUUUUCCUUCUCAUAUUUUGGAGCAAUGUGCAGUUUGAUGAACCAUAAUGUAACAAAGCUUUAACAGAAGCUAGGGCUCGUAAUUAAAUAUCUUGAGUAAUAAUUUUCAACGACAGUGUCACUAACAAUGAUGACACGAGUUGAUUAACAAAGAGCCAUUUCAGUAGUUAAGUAAUUGCUGCAUAGCUUUCCUUUUCUACUUAAAAAGAAAAUAUUGCGAGAUAAAUAGUAACCACAAUUAUAAAUCUUAUAUUUAUAAUGAUUAAAAAUUGUACAGUUAUGAUUAUUUCUUAUAUAACAAUUUACUAAGACCAAAGACAAUGGUUAACACUAGAACUACCAAAGGGAUCAAAAUGACUGGUUUCCUCUUUCUUAUGUUAAAUUAUAAAUUUUGUCGAGGUAUUUUUGUUGAAACGUAUGUUGUCUGUUUUCGAGCUAAAGAAUGAAUGUAUAUAUUAAAUUAUGUUUCAUCCCUUACCUAUUUAGUAAUCUACAUUAUUGUCAGCUUGAAAAUAAGUGUGCGUCAAAUAUUGGUAGUUCUAGUAUUAAAGUCCAAGAGUGACAGUAUUAAGGAAACCCUAUCAAAAAUGAAUGUGAAAGUGAUAAAAAAGAAUAAAUUAUUUUUAUUAUGUAAUCUUUUUUCGAAAAGUCAUACUUACUGACGAUUACCGAUGACUACCGAACAGACACUAUACAGGGCCAACCGCAGGCAGGCUGUGGUGGCUCAGUUUGCACUCAACGGUCGAAGGAGGAGGAUAUCAAGUCUCGUUUUUGUUGUUAUAUUUCUCUUAUCUGUAGUGUUUGGAGCAAAUAAGGUUUAUUUUCUUUAGUGUUUUCGGGUUAAUUACUUCUAGAAUAGAAAUUAAUGAUAUUAAAUUGUAAACUUCGUCAUUUUUACUUCUUCUAUUCUCAUUGUAUUUUAUAUAUUGUUUUUUUUUUAAUAAUUAUAUUUAAGUUAUUGGACAUCUGUAGGGUUACUUGUAAUCUAUUAGCAGGAUUAUAUUAUCUUUUCAACGUUAUGUAUUUUAUAUUAUUAUAUUAUUUUCUAAAAUAUCACAUUUCAGAAUUAAAUAGCUGUGCCAUCUAUCAGAUGAUACUUGAAACUAUUAGCAAAUCUUGCUAUUCAUUUACCAUUUACAGUAAACACAUAUUUGCGGAAACACGAGUUUCCGAUGUGAUGGUACAAUCGGAAAUGAGAUCAAUCUAUAUAGAAAAGUAAAUAGAAAAUUGAAGUGAUACUUUUUUAUACAUAACUUCAUUAUUAAAUAAGUGAUGGAGCCAGGAAACAUGAGGCGAUAUCUAACGUCAAGUGUCAAAAGCGAGCUUUUUUAUUUUGCUGAAAGGGCGUGCAAAAAAUUAACCGAAUUAUAGUUCUCUUCCUUAUCAUCAGAGGAGUCUCCGUAUAAAAUACGCAUUCUGGUGGUGAUGGAGAGAACUAUAAGUAAAUGUAUAUCUUGGACUCACUACCAGAAAAAUAAGAAAGUUCAUUUUUGGUAUUUGACAGUACAGGAUUGCCUCGAAAUAAGCAACACGCUCGGGUCUGGCCAGUUGCUUAUUACGGAUCAGGUAUGCUAUUUGGCUCCACUUUGUUCUCGAAACGAGACGAUAGAGAACACGAGAAAUGAGUGAGA